AACCUUGGCCCCUCUCCCCAG
rnacentral:miRNA from 1 species